GCCUGGGCAACAUACCAAGACUCCAUCUCUAAACAAAUUUUUUUUUUUUUUUUUUUUGGAGACAGGGUCUUGCUCUGCCACCUGCAUU
rnacentral:pre_miRNA from 1 species